rnacentral:misc_RNA from 1 species
GGAAAUGUGUCUCAGGGUGCACAAGAGAUUUUUAAGCUCUUACCUCAUACUUAUGUUGAUCCCUCAAAACUUCCCGAACUUGCGGUUGGCGAUAGAGCUCAUUUGAAGUUAACAAGCAGAGUUUUCCAUGUAUAUGGCUGUGUCGUGACAUGUGAAAACAUGGUUACCCCAAAGGAUUUAACUAAAGUUUUUGAUAAAGCCGACUAUUAUGCCCACCCACAACACUAUUACCCUGUAUUUCAUGAAAGAAUUGCUCCUUACGCAUCUGUCAUUGUUAAUUGCAUGUACUGGGAGAAACGGUUUCCGAGGUUGUUGAGCACCAAACAGUUGCAAGAACUGAUGAG